rnacentral:rRNA from 1 species
UACGUAGGGUGCAAGCGUUAAUCGGAAUUACUGGGCGUAAAGCGUGCGCAGGCGGUUAUGCAAGACAGAUGUGAAAUCCCCGGGCUUAACCUGGGAACUGCAUUUGUGACUGCAUGGCUGGAGUGCGGCAGAGGGGGAUGGAAUUCCGCGUGUAGCAGUGAAAUGCGUAGAUAUGCGGAGGAACACCGAUGGCGAAGGCAGUCCCCUGGGCCUGCACUGACGCUCAUGCACGAAAGCGUGGGGAGCAAACAGG